GAUUAGGGUUCAACACCUGAAAACAUUUCAUUUGGCUUUUUUUUCUCACUUCCAACCCAGCAACAAGCUUCAAAACCAUACAACCCAAAAUUCACCUGGCCUAAUCUAGUAUAGUCUUUAACGAUAAUAUCACCAAAAUGCAUCAGAAGAGUGCGCAUCGUGGUAGCGGUAGUGAAAGUGGUGGUCAGAGUGGGAGUCGGUCUAAAGGAAAAGGAAAGGUUUCAGACUUCAUCAUUCUUGACGACGAUGACGAUUGGGUAGUUCGGCCCACCGAUGUUGAUUUUUUCGACCCGUAUCGCCAAUAUGGCUCGGCCGACCCAGCAAUCAGACCAUGCUCCGCAGCCUAACCAACAUCAGAACCAGCAGCAGGACCAUGCACGACAGCUGAACCAGCAAUUGGAGCAGCCACACGACCCUCAGCCUUCAAGACGAAGAAAUACAAGCAAGACAAGUGCUUCGACUUCAAGAUCUGUUCCACGGCCACCCCGACAUUCUAGGAGAAGUACAGCACCAAGAUGAGGAAGGAAGAAAGAUUAAACUGAAUAGAAAAGUGAAUGUGUUUUGGCCAUCUUUUGACUUGGAAGGCGUUAUGACUAUGAAUGUGUUUUGUCCAUAUUUUGACUAGGAAGGUGUUUCAUGCUUAGGCACUUGUUUUGUCAUCGUUGCCUAGGAAUGUGAACACCCCCCACAUUGACUUGACUAUAAAUGUGUUUUGCCAA